AGAGUUUGAUCCUGGCUCAGAAUGAACGUUGGCGGCGUGGAUUAGGCAUGCGAGUCGUACGAGAACCCGCAAGGGGGAAAGUGGCGAACGGGGUAGUAAUGCGUAGGUGACGUGCCCUGUGGUCGGGGAUAGCUUAGGGAAACUUAAGGUAAUACUCGAUGAUCCCGGAUUGUUUGAAGACGAAUCGGGCAAAGGUGUGAUUCCAUCACAGGAGCGGCUUGCGUGGUAUUAGCUAGUUGGUGAGGUAACGGCUCACCAAGGCUUCGAUGCCUAGGGGAUGUUAGCGCAUGAUCCCCACCACUGGGACUGAGAUACUGCCCAGACACCUACGGGUGGCUGCAGUCGAGAAUCUUCGGCAAUGGGGGAAACCCUGACCGAGCGACGCCGCGUGUGGGAUGAAGGCCCUUGGGUUGUAAACCACUGUCAGAGGGGAUGAAAUGCCAGAGAGCCAUCUCUCUGGUUUGACAUAGCCUCAGAGGAAGCACGGGCUAAGUUCGUGCCAGCAGCCGCGGUAAGACGAACUGUGCAAACGUUAUUCGGAAUCACUGGGCUUAAAGGGUGCGUAGGCGGUCUUUUAAGUAGGGUGUGAAAGCCUCUGGCUCAACCAGAGAACUGCGCCCUAAACUAGAAGGCUUGAGUGAGGUAGGGGUGUGUGGAACUUCCAGUGGAGCGGUGAAAUGUGUUGAUAUUGGAAGGAACGCCGGUGGCGAAAGCGACACACUGGACCUUGUCUGACG
rnacentral:rRNA from 1 species